rnacentral:rRNA from 1 species
UACAGAGGUCCCAAGCGUUGUUCGGAUUCACUGGGCGUAAAGGGUGCGUAGGUGGUUAGGUAAGUCCGAUGUGAAAUCUCCAGGCUCAACCUGGAAAUGGCAUUGGAUACUAUCUAGCUUGAGGAGUGGAGGGGGGACUGGAAUUCUCGGUGUAGCAGUGAAAUGCGUAGAUAUCGAGAGGAACACCAGUGGCGAAGGCGACUCUUUGGCCUGUAACUGACGCUGAGGCGCGAAAGCGUGGGGAGCAAACAGG